rnacentral:rRNA from 1 species
CCAAUAGCGUAUAUUAAAGUUGUUGCAGUUAAAAAGCUCGUAGUUGAAUUUCGGGAUUAAUUUAUUGGUCGUGCAAUAGUACGUACUGGUAUUAUUGAUUCCUACCUUCUGACGAACCAUGAUGGCAUUAAUUUGGUGUUAUGGGGAAUCAGGACUGUUACUUUGAAAAAAUUAGAGUGUUUAAAGCAGGCUCACGCUUGAAUACAUUAGCAUGGAAUAAAGAAAUAGGACGUUUGAUUCUCUUUUGUUGGUUUCUAGGAUCGACGUAAUGAUUAAUAGGGAUAGGUGGGGGCAUUAGUAUUCAAUUGUCAGAGGUGAAAUUCUUGGAUUUAUUGAAGACUAACUACUGCGAAAGCAUUUGCCAAGGAUGUUUUCAUUAAUCAAGAACGAAAGUUAGGGGAUCGAAGACGAUCAGAUACCGUCGUAGUCUUAACCAUAAACUAUGCCGACUAGGGAUCGGAUGAUGUUAAUUUUUUAAUGACUCAUUCGGCGCCUUACA